AUUGAACGCUGGCGGCAGGCCUAACACAUGCAAGUCGAGCGAGCGGCGGACGGGUGAGUAAUGUAUGGGGACUGCCCGAUAGAGGGGGAUAACUACUGGAAACGGUAGCUAAUACCGCAUACCAUCGGAUAACCCAUAUGGGAUUAGCUAGUAGGUGAGGUAAAGGCUCACCAAGGCAACGAUCCGUAGCUGGUUUGAGAGGACGAACAGCCACACGGGGACUGAGACACGGCCCCGAUUCCUACGGAGGCAGCAGUGGGGAAUUUUUGACAAGGGGGGAAACCCUGAUCCAGCCAUCCCGCGUGUAUGAUGAAGGCCUUCGGGUUGUAAAGUACUUUUGGCAGAGAAGCGGUAUCUGCAGAGUAAGCACCGGCUAACUACGUGCCAGCAGCCGCGGUAAUUC
rnacentral:rRNA from 1 species